GAAUUCUUUGCAAAAAUAGAAAACCAAAUGAUUUCCCAAAAUUACUGAGGUACUUAUUAGAGAAUAAGAAAGAUUAAGCUUUUUCUCUCAAUACAGGUGCGACCCAUCAUGGUUUCUGUAUGUGUUUUUCUAGCAAGACAAAUGCCGGGAACUGAUUGGCUUGUGUUUUAUCUCGCAUUGCCUUGGGAAAUGAGCCUACUGUGUGGUCUAAGAUACAGGAAAAGAAAUGAUGGGAUAUAUUUGAUCAAGAAAACUUGCUGAGCCAAACAUCAAGCCAUUGGCCAGGAAUCUCCCCUGUAGUGACCCCAAGUGGGGUCAAGUAGGUGGAAGUUACUACCUGGUUUCUCUAAGCUGCUGAUGGGCAUUCGCUGCCUACAAGGAGAGAGAGAAUGGAAGGAUCUUUCAAACACUUUCCACUCUUCCCCAUAUUGG
rnacentral:lncRNA from 1 species